AACGAACGCUGGCGGCGCGUUUUAAGCAUGCAAGUCGAACGGUAGGAAUCCUUCGGGAUUCUGAGAGUGGCGAACGGGUGAGUAACACGUAGAUGAUCUGCCUUGAAGUUGGGGAUAGCCCAUAGAAAUAUGGGGUAAUACCGAAUAAUCUCUUUUUGCUUUGGUGAAUAGAGGAAAGGGGCUUCGGCCUCGCUUUGAGAUGAGUCUGCGGCUGAUUAGCUUGUUGGUAGGGUAAUGGCCUACCAAGGCGACGAUCAGUAGCCGGCCUGAGAGGGUGACCGGCCACAUUGGGACUGAGACACGGCCCAAACUCCUACGGGAGGCAGCAGCUAAGAAUCUUCCGCAAUGGGCGCAAGCCUGACGGAGCGACGCCGCGUGGACGAAGAAUGCCGAGAGGUUGUAAAGUCCUUUUAUCUGCGAAGAAUAAUGUCUGUAGGUAAUGACAGACAGAUGACGUUAGCUUAUGAAUAAGCUCCGGCCAAUUACGUGCCAGCAGCCGCGGUAACACGUAAGGAGCCAGCGUUGUUCGGAAUUAUUGGGCGUAAAGGGCGCGUAGGCGGCUCUUCAAGUCAAAGGUGAAAUCCCUCGGC
rnacentral:rRNA from 1 species